GACGAACGCUGGCGGCGUGCUUAACACAUGCAAGUCGAACGGGAAGGCCCUGCUUUUGUGGGGUGCUCGAGUGGCGAACGGGUGAGUAACACGUGAGUAACCUGCCCUUGACUUUGGGAUAACUUCAGGGAAAACUGGGGGCUAAUACCGGAUAGGAGCUCCUGCUGCAUGGUGGGGGUUGGAAAGUCUCGGCGGUUGGGGAUGGACUCGCGGCUUAUCAGCUUGUUGGUGGGGUAGUGGCUUACCAAGGCUUUGACGGGUAGCCGGCCUGAGAGGGUGACCGGCCACAUUGGGACUGAGAUACGGCCCAGACUCCUACGGGAGGCAGCAGUGGGGAAUAUUGCACAAUGGGCGGAAGCCUGAUGCAGCAACGCCGCGUGCGGGAUGACGGCCUUCGGGUUGCAAACCGCUUUCGCCUGUGACGAAGCGUGAGUGACGGUAAUGGGUAAAGAAGCACCGGCUAACUACGUG
rnacentral:rRNA from 1 species